AGUGAACGCUGGCGGUAGGCCUAACACAUGCAAGUCGAACGGCAGCACAGUAAGAGCUUGCUCUUACGGGUGGCGAGUGGCGGACGGGUGAGGAAUACAUCGGAUUCUACUUUUUCGUGGGGGAUAACGUAGGGAAACUUACGCUAAUACCGCAUACGACCUACGGGUGAAAGCAGGGGAUCUUCGGACCUUGCGCGAUUGAAUGAGCCGAUGUCGGAUUAGCUAGUUGGCGGGGUAAAGGCCCACCAAGGCGACGAUCCGUAGCUGGUCUGAGAGGAUGAUCAGCCACAUUGGAACUGAGACACGGUCCAGACUCCUACGGGAGGCAGCAGUGGGGAAUAUUGGACAAAGGGCGCAAGCCUGAUCCAGCCAUACCGCGUGGGUGAAGAAGGCCUUCGGGUUGUAAAGCCCUUUUGUUGGGAAAGAAAAGCAGCAGGUUAAUACCCCGCUGUUCUGACGGUACCCAAAGAAUAAGCACCGGCUAACUUCGUG
rnacentral:rRNA from 1 species